AGUGAACGCUGGCGAUAGGCCUAACACAUGCAAGUCGAACGGCAGCACAGUAAGAGCUUGCUCUUACGGGUGGCGAGUGGCGGACGGGUGAGGAAUACAUCGGAAUCUACUUUUUCGUGGGGGAUAACGUAGGGAAACUUACGCUAAUACCGCAUACGACCUACGGGUGAAAGCAGGGGAUCUUCGGACCUUGCGCGAUUGAAUGAGCCGAUGUCGGAUUAGCUAGUUGGCGGGGUAAAGGCCCACCAAGGCGAUGAUCCGUAGCUGGUCUGAGAGGAUGAUCAGCCACACUGGAACUGAGACACGGUCCAGACUCCUACGGGAGGCAGCAGUGGGGAAUAUUGGACAAUGGGCGCAAGCCUGAUCCAGCCGUACCGCGUGGGUGAAGAAGGCCUUCGGGUUGUAAAGCCCUUUUGUUGGGAAAGAAAAGCAGCAGGUUAAUACCCCGCUGUUCUGACGGUACCCAAAGAAUAAGCACCGGCUAACUUCGUG
rnacentral:rRNA from 1 species